CGGCAAGGUGGCCGAGCGGCUGAAGGCGCCCGCCUGGAAAGUGGGUAGACGGCGCAAACCGUCUCGCAGGUUCGAAUCCUGCCUUGUCCGCCA
rnacentral:tRNA from 1 species